UACAGAGGGUGCGAGCGUUAAUCGGAAUUACUGGGCGUAAAGCGUGCGUAGACGGUUAUUUAAGUCGGGUGUGAAAGCCCCGGGCUCAACCUGGGAAUUGCAUUCGAGACUGAAUAGCUAGGGUACGGUAGAGGGAAGUGGAAUUUCCGGUGUAGCGGUGAAAUGCGUAGAUAUCUGUAGGAACACCCGUGGCGAAGGCGGCUCGCUGGACCGUUACUGACGCUGAGGAACGAAAGCUAGGGGAGCAAACAGG
rnacentral:rRNA from 1 species